rnacentral:rRNA from 1 species
UACGACUACAUAUCAGGCAUAUCAAUAAGCGGAGGAAAAGAAACUAACAAGGAUUCCCUUAGUAACGGCGAGUGAAGCGGGAAGAGCUCAAAUUUGAAAUCUUCAAGGUUUUACCUUGACGAAUUGUAGUUUAAAGAAGUGUUUUCUGUUGAAGUUUCGGUAAAAGUUCUUUGGAAUAGGACAUCAUAGAGGGUGAGAAUCCCGUAUUUGACCGUUAUUUUCAGCUGUGUGAUACACUUUCAAAGAGUCGGAUUGUUUGGGAAUGCAGUCCAAAAUGGGUGGUAAAUUUCAUCUAAAGCUAAAUAUUGGCGAGAGACCGAUAGCGAACAAGUACCGUGAGGGAAAGAUGAAAAGAACUUUGAAAAGAGAGUUAAACAGUACGUGAAAUUGUCAAAAGGGAAGCGUUUGACACCAGUGUUGUUUUCUCGAAAGUCAAUUAAAAAAUAGUUGGAUUUUGUGUUGUAUUGACCUUAACAGCUUGCUUCACUCUUUUCCAGCUUUUUUUAAUGCACUUUUCGUUUAACAAGUCAACAUCAGUUUCUUUUGUUGUAAAAGGGUCAUUGGAAGGUGGCUUUCUCUUCGGAGAAAGUGUUUAUAGCCUUUGAUCUCUGCAAUCGGAGAGACUGAGGUCUGCAGCGUAGAUCCUUCGGGGUUAGAUACAUUUGUGCUAAGCUACAGCUUUUCAUAGACAACUUGUUGACUAUGUUUAGUCUUGUAACUUACCCGCUUAUGCUAUUUUACCUACGCUUAGGAUGUUGAGCGCAUGUCUCUCUCU